rnacentral:rRNA from 1 species
AGUCACUGACAUUAGAUACCCGCGUAGUCCAGGGUGUAAACGCUGCGGACUUGGUGUUGGGGGCCCUUUGGGGGCAUUCAGUGCCGGAGAGAAGUUGUUAAGUCUGCUACUUGGGGAGUACGUCCGCAAGGAUGAAACUUAAAGGAAUUGGCGGGGGAGGCACCGCAACGGGAGGAGCGUGCGGUUUAAUUGGAUUCAACACCGUAAAACUCACCAGGGAAGACUGUUACAUGAAGGCCGAGAUGAAGACUCUGCUAGAUUUUCAG